ensembl:lncRNA
GGGAGGUAAAGUGGCCUUGAGUUUGUGUCCUCAGUGGACAGGGAGGCUAGUUCAGCAUUCCUGCUUACACACACACACACACACACACACACACACUCCCUCUCUCUCUCUCUCCCUCCCCCUCACACACACACACACACAAUUAUUCAGCACCACACUGAUGAUUUCUGGGUUAGUGCUACUUCACCCCCAGUCAAUGUUGAUAGAUGCUUCCAGAACCCUCUCUCAGGAGAGAAUACUUCUAGAAUCCUCUUUCAGGAGAGAAUACUUCUAGAACCCUAUCUUAGGAGGGAAUACUUCUAGAAUCCUCUUUCAGGAGAGAAUACUUCUAGAACCCUAUCUUAGGAGGGAAUACUUCUAGAAUCCUCUUUCAGGAGAGAAUACUUCUAGAACCCUAUCUUAGGAGGGAAUACUUCUAGAACCCUCUUUCAGGAGAGAAUACUUCUAGAAUCCUUAAGGAUGUUCUGGAAGGCUCAGGCUAUGUGGUCAUGUUGAAAUGGCUUUUCUAGUACUUAGGGACACCAUUCGAUCAGUGUGUGUGUGUGUGUGUGUGUGUGUGUGUGUGUGUGUGGGGGGACACACUCCGAUUCAGCUGUUUGUAACAGCAUAGUGGCUGAAGGGGCCUUCUCUUCUCUUCCUUCUCAGAUCUGCAUCCAACUCAACCCGUACACAAAACCAUACACACAUACACACACACACACACACACACACACACACACACACACACACACAGGGGUGCCCAAUGAGGGGGGGGGGGGGGGGGUCUGUCCUUUGGCUAAUCUUCAAUCAUUUCAGCAAAAGCCUUAACCAGCAUAGCCUCUUGCUUCCUCACACAUUCACACACACACACACACACACUCGCAUACACACUCACUUUGUAAAUAGUAUAAAUAUAUACAAAUAUAAUAUUAGAAAAAGAGUAAUUUAUGAUGUCACAUUUCUGUAUCAAGCUGUGCGCAUGAAGGAUCAUUUUUUGUAUGGUUUUGAUCGAGGCCUGUUUUACACUUUUACGUUUACUGUCUUUGAAGCCUUUACUUUGUUUAUUAAGCCUUUACUAUGUUUGAAAUGUUUUCAUUUUUUUAUAUAUGUCAGCCAUCCAUGGAGUGCUUUAUUGUCAUGUCAGAAUGGGAGUGUCCUAUGUAAACACACUGAGCACCCCUCGGCCAAUGGGAGUGCUUCCUGCGCUGUCCUAUGUAAACACACUGAGCACCCCUCGGCCAAUGGGAGCGCUCCCUGUGCUGUGAGUGCUGUCCUAUGUAAACACACUGAGCACCCCUCGGCCAAUGGGAGCGCUCCCUGUGCUGUGAGUGCUGUCCUAUGUAAACACACUGAGCACCCCUCGGCCAAUGGGAGCGCUCCCUGUGCUGUGAGUGCUGUCCUAUGUAAACACACUGAGCACCCCUCGGCCAAUGGGAGCGCUCCCUGUGCUGUGAGUGCUGUCCUAUGUAAACACACUGAGCACCCCUCGGCCAAUGGGAGCCUUUCCAUGGCAGUCACACUUGUGUUCUGAUUUGUCUUUGGGUCUUUGG